rnacentral:rRNA from 1 species
CAGUCGCCGCGGUAAUACAGAGGGUGCAAGCGUUAAUCGGAAUUACUGGGCGUAAAGCGCGCGUAGGUGGUUUGUUAAGUCGAAUGUGAAAUCCCCGGGCUCAACCUGGGAACUGCAUCCGAAACUGGCAAGCUAGAGUAUGGUAGAGGGUAGUGGAAUUUCCUGUGUAGCGGUGAAAUGCGUAGAUAUAGGAAGGAACACCAGUGGCGAAGGCGACUACCUGGACUGAUACUGACACUGAGGUGCGAAAGCGUGGGGAGCAAACAGGAUUAGAUACCCCAGUAGUCCCUGUCUCUUAUAC